ACUUGGUGAUGUGGGCAUUUACGGAACAGGUCCCUAAAGAGCUCCCAAGUCUAGAAAAAGAGUUCCCCAUCCAUCCGUGAGAAACUUGUGAUGUCUCUCCGAAGCU